rnacentral:sRNA from 1 species
AGCAGCCGCGGUAAUUCCAGCUCCAAUAGCGUAUAUUAAAGUUGUUGCAGUUAAAAAGCUCGUAGUUGAAUUUCGGGAUCAGUACGCUGGUCGUGCCUUGUGUAUGUACUGGUGUUACUGGUUCCUACCUUCUGACGAACCGUCAUGUCAUUAAUUUGGUGUGGCGGGGAAUCAGGACUGUUACUUUGAAAAAUUAGAGUGUUUAAAGCAGGCUCGCGCUUGAAUACAUUAGCAUGGAAUAAUGAAAUAGGACGUUCGAUCCUAUUUUGUUGGUUUCUAGGAUUGACGUAAUGAUUAAUAGGGAUAGUUGGGGGCAUUAGUAUUCAAUUGUCAGAGGUGAAAUUCUUGGAUUUAUUGAAGACUAACUACUGCGAAAGCAUUUGCCAAGGAUGUUUUCAUUAAUCAAGAACGAAAGUUAGGGGAUCGAAGACGAUCAGAUACCGUCGUAGUCUUAACCAUAAACUAUGCCGACUAGGGAUCGGAUGAUGUUAUUUUAAUGACUCAUUCGCGCCUUAAC